AACGAACGCUGGCGGCAUGCCUAACACAUGCAAGUCGAACGAUGCUUUCGGGCAUAGUGGCGCACGGGUGCGUAACGCGUGGGAAUCUGCCCUUGGGUCUGGGAUAACAGUUGGAAACGACUGCUAAUACCGGAUGAUAUCGCGAGAUCAAAGAUUUAUCGCCCGAGGAUGAGCCCGCGUCAGAUUAGCUAGUUGGUGGGGUAAAGGCCUACCAAGGCGACGAUCUGUAGCUGGUCUGAGAGGAUGAUCAGCCACACUGGGACUGAGACACGGCCCAGACUCCUACGGGAGGCAGCAUUGGGGAAUAUUGGACAAUGGGCGCAAGCCUGAUCCAGCAAUGCCGCGUGAGUGAUGAAGGCCUUAGGGUUGUAAAGCUCUUUUACCCGGGAUGAUAAUGACAGUACCGGGAGAAUAAGCCCCGGCUAACUCCGUGCCAGCAGCCGCCGUAA
rnacentral:rRNA from 1 species